UGGGGAAUUUUCUGCAAUGGGCGAAAGCCUGACAGAGCAAUAUCGCGUGAGGGAAGAAGGCUUAAGAGUUGUAAACCUCUUUUUUCAAAAAAGAAACUCUGACAUUAUUUGAAGAAUAAGCAUCGGCUAACUCUGUGCCAGCAGCCGCGGUAAUACAGGGGAUGCAAGCGUUAUCCGGAAUUAUUGGGCGUAAAGCGUCUGUAGAUUGAAAUUUAAGUUUUUUGUUAAAUUAAUAUUUAUAAUAUUAUCUGCAAAAAAUACUAUUUUUCUUGGGUAUAAUAAAGGUAAAGAGAAUUUUCAGUGGAGCAGUGAAAUGUGUAGAUAUUGAAAGGAAUACCAAAAGCGAAGGCACUUUACUAGGUUAUUACUGACAUUGAGAGACGAAAGCUAGGGGAGCAAAUGGG
rnacentral:rRNA from 1 species